GCCUUAGUAAUGGUAAAUUUGAUUGUGGUGAUCUGCUUGAUUCAUAGAGGGAAGUGCUGUACAAGAUCGAUUGGAGGUCAUCAGUGCACUCACAUCAUCAAUAAACAAGCCGGUUAUACUCUUGGAGAGAAAUCAUUUUAUAUGUCUGAAGACAAAUUAGAUUCAUCGCAUGAACACAUUUUAUUGGAGAAACUAGAAG